CAUAAAUAAUUGUUGUUUGUGGAAGAUUAAUGUAUAAUUACUGUGUGUUCUUCAUCUUCUUAUGUAUAAUUAUAUGUGUUUAACGUUUGCUAAUGAUGUAUAAUAUUUUUGGAAUAAUAUUAUCUUAUGUUAAUUCCUUUUUUGUCUCAGAAAUGGACAUUACAAAUGGAACAUCAACCAAGAUCAAUACUAAAGAUUUUUGUAUACCAGAUAGUGGAAAAACGUACACUAUUCUGAAACACAUAAAAUAUUUUUCUGAACUAAAACCGACAAAUAUCGCUGU
rnacentral:lncRNA from 1 species